UACAGAGGGUGCGAGCGUUAAUCGGAAUUACUGGGCGUAAAGCGCGCGUAGGCGGCUUUGCAAGUCGGGUGUGAAAUCCCCAGGCUUAACCUGGGAACUGCAUUCGAGACUGCAUUGCUAGAGUAUGGGAGAGGGAAGUGGAAUUUCCGGUGUAGCGGUGAAAUGCGUAGAUAUCUGCAGGAACACCCGUGGCGAAAGCGGCGCGCUGGACCACUACUGACGCUGAGGAACGAAAGCUAGGGGAGCAAACAGG
rnacentral:rRNA from 1 species